GCAGCCGCCGCGGGAAUACGGAGGGCGCGAGCGUUACCCGGAUUUACUGGGCGUAAAGGGCGUGUAGGCGGCCUGGUGCGUCCCAUGUGAAAGGCCACGGCUCAACCGUGGAGGGGCGUGGGAUACGCUCAGGCUAGAGGGUGGGAGAGGGUGGUGGAAUUCCCGGAGUAGCGGUGAAAUGCGCAGAUACCGGGAGGAACGCCGAUGGCGAAGGCAGCCACCUGGUCCACUUCUGACGCUGAGGCGCGAAAGCGUGGGGAGCAAACCGGAUUAGAUACCCCUGUAGUCCCUGUCUCUUAUAC
rnacentral:rRNA from 1 species